AAAAAAAAAAAUCUAUCUUGUUAACAUUAAUAACAAUUUUAACAUAUUUAAUAUAUAUAUAUAUAAAGGAGAAAAAUUACUAGAGAAAAAAAAAAUUUGUCAUGGCAUGGGCUUUUGAUGAACAUUAUUGCAUGAUAAUUUAAGUUGACCCACAAAAGCAAGAUGACGCUUGUUUCUUGGUAAGAUGAAAAUAUGAUGAUACUUUUGACCAAUGCAUGCGGCCUAUAUAUUAUUUUGCUUUGGAAAAUUUUAUGCGUUAUCUAAUGUGGACCAAAUAACAACUUUCAUUGCCUGUGUGGUUGGACAAUAUCAUGCUCAUUAAACUUGCAUUUCCUUCACAUUUUGUCCCUAAUUUCCACCCCCCAGCUCAAUAUCAUAGGCCUAUAUAUAUGUCAUGGGCAAGACAAGCUCAACCCCAGAAAACGAAAGGUGCAUGGCUAUAUAUUCAUUGGCAUUUAAUUAAGAUU
rnacentral:misc_RNA from 1 species